UGGGGAAAGCAUUCCCUUAUCUGAACUUGGUGGGCAUUCUUUCCAGCCUUAGUAAAAUAGGGGGUGGGUUUGGCUUGAACAUAGGCUCAAACAGAAUUUGAAGGGUCCUAGCUACGCCAUGCGUUCAAUACAAAAUCUGGAAAGCUGCAGGGAUGACAAAAAGAGGGCGCUUUCCUGUGUUGCACUGAAAAAAAGGACCUAAGAGACGAGCGUCUUCUCUUAGGUUUCUUCCUCCCGCGCCCGUCGCCGCCCGGCCCGCGUUAGAGGGGAAGAUUAGCAAAGCAAAAAAAGGACCUAAGAGACGAGUGUCUUCUCAUAGGUUUCUUCCUCCAGCGCCCGUCGCCGCCCGG
rnacentral:lncRNA from 1 species